UCAAUUGUCAUCACCAAAACAUUGAACUCCUCGCGUGUAAUCCAAAUACAAUUUGAAACUCAAACUUACAUCAAAAACUCCUAAAACAGACUCUAUGACUUAGACACAACUAGGAGUCUUGAAGUCUUGAUUUCCUGCAAACGAAUUCAUUCAAAAAAAAAAAAAUGAUUAGCACAAAAUUCUUAUACCUUCUCCCCCUUUGUUCUUCACAUCUCGAUCACAUCUACUCAUCAUCCUCUGCUUUGCCUGUUGUCAACCAUGAACUCCAUGAACUCCUCCUGUUCUACGUUCUCCCCCUUUUU
rnacentral:lncRNA from 1 species